GCUGUUUUCUGUUUUGUACCAUGGUCCAUCCAAGAAAAUGGGACAAAUCUCUAGCGAUCUAAGCUCCAUGGCCUCAUUCAUCGAACUUUAGCUCAAUACUUCAAUAUAAACCAUUAUAAGUUUAUGUAGAGUUAUAAGGACAAUUGAGGAUACAUAUACUUCAAGAAUCCCUUUUUUUUUGUUGUUGUCAAAAAUACUUCAAGAAUCCCUAUUUAGAAAAAUCUUAACUAAGAACUAACUUUUGCUUCUCUUAAUAAAAUAAAAUAAAAUCGGCCAUCUUAAUUCUUAACACCCCUCUUAAUAGUGCUGGUUAUCUAUAGAUGGGGUAAAUGACAUGAUUCGGCCCCUCCAAAAAGAAAAAUUAAAAAACAAAAUGGCAUGAUUAAAAGAAUUGGAUUAUCUAUCUCUAUACAGGCAGUUACCCUGAGUACAAGUAAGUACUGAGCGCGGGAAGAAGAGAGAAAUCAGAUCAGUAAAAUAUAAGGGAUGUAGUUAGUAUCCAUAGUGAAUUCAAUAUCGAAUGUCCUACGCACCUAUUUUGGG